ACAAUAUACAGGACAGUUUGACUAAAUAUUCUUCUCUCUAAGAGAAUUCUUUACUGUGAUUGGCUCCUCCAUGACUUGGAUAACACAGCAAUUGCCUGAUGCCAGGAAUCACCCUGAACUUUUACCUGACAGCAGCCAACAUUAGAAAAGGGCACGUCUACUCCACAGUGAUUGUUUGAUCUUUAGGGAAAGCUUUCUUUAUGGAUCAGUGCCAAAAAGAAGCUUCUGCCAAUACCUUCCUCUGAGAACCCCGCCUCCUCGCCCCACCUCACAAAAAAAUCAGCACUACUUUGUGGCCAAAGAAUGUUUCAACAAGUUCCAGAACAAACAAACUGAAAGUUACUCUUGACGGCACAGAAUCAUGAGGGAUCAUAAGGGAAGGACUGCUGUAUCACAAUUGGUGUGGUGGAGUAUCUUCUGGGAUGUCUAAUGAAUACACGUUCCUGGAAAACUUGGGUGCAUGGUCAUUUAUGUCACUGACGGCAAUGUUGAUUCGCAUAUCUGAGGACUGCAGCCCAUCGUCAGCUCGGACC